rnacentral:misc_RNA from 1 species
AAGUCGUAACAAGGUUUCCGUAGGUGAACCUGCGGAAGGAUCAUUAACGAAUUGAGUCGGUCAUUUAUGACUGAUUUUCUCUCUCACCCGUGCUCUUGGCCUAUUUUUUAGGCCGAGUAUUAUUUCUUCGUUCUAAAUCGUCUGAGAAUGUAAGCAUGUACAUGCAGUAAAAAAAUGAAAACUAUGAACAACGGAUCUCUAGGCUCUU